rnacentral:lncRNA from 1 species
CCAAGAACCGUGGUGAGAUCCUGAUAGACCACAUUCAAGUUCUUGUGGUUAUUGGGCCCAACUUGGCUGUUCAUCUGAAGCAACACAAAGCAAUGGUGCUUGUGCUGGAAGCUCCUCCUCCUCCUCCUUGAACAGCGGAGCUAAUUGCUAUAUCUUGAAAUGCCGAACUACUCAUUCAUCUAUUUAAGACAGGAGCAGCGGUUUCCCCUAAUGUAGACCCCCGAGCAAAGCGUAGC